CAGAGGUUUGACUCAUCAAUAACUGAGAAUCAGAGGUUUGAGUCAUCGAUAACUGAGAACCUGCAGCUCCUAAGUCUCCAGAAGAAACACCAGCUGAAUCAUCAAAGACAUUAUGAUCACUUGAUUUUUCGACUUCAUUUUCAGGACAUGUAUUUCUAGUUUCUUCAUUGAUAUUUUCAAGAGACUCGCUGUUCAAUGAAUUUGUUGCCAGUUUCAACCUCCGGAUUUCAUUCUGUAGAACCUUUAUCUCUUCCUUGUAACUGUCUGUUGAUGGUAAGUCAACACCUUCAAAAUCACUUGCUACGAAAUUCCGAGCAGAGCGAGCACCCUCUAUAUGCAUUUUUAGCGAAGUUAUUUCAGCUCUACAUUCAUUCAAUUCUUGUCUUUGACUCUCUAGAGACUGCUUCAAACUCUGAACCAGAAUCUCCUUGUCCUUCAUUUCCUUCUGCAAUGCUUCUAAGGAUUUUGCCAAUACUGUGACUUGGGCAUCUGCCAUAUCUUUACUCUUCAGCAAGGACUGCUUUUCAUGUUUCAGCUUGUCAUUUUCUUUCACCAACGACUCGUUUUCUCUUAGCAUAGCAAUUUUUUCCUCAGCAGCCUCUGAGGUGGAAGACAGGUACUGGUAAUAGUAAUGGCGCAAAGCAUCUGGAAUGCAUGCAGAGGAGUUCUGCUGAACAUCUAGGUCUUGAUCAGUAACCUGUCAUACAUAAUAAAG
rnacentral:misc_RNA from 1 species